CCAGAACCAGCGCCUCCAUUCCAACAGGAAGUGCAACACGCUCCAACAGGAAGUUCAACCAUUCCAACAGGAAGUUCAACCAUUCCAACAGGAAGUUCAACCAUUCCAACAGGAAGUGCAACACGCUCCGACAGGAAGCGCGACCCGUUACGGCAAGAAUCUAAACCAUCGCUCCAUCCACGCUUAGAUCUUUUCAUCUUACACUCGUUUAUCCUCCAUCUGUUCUUCCUCUGUUCUCGGGUUCUAUCUGUAGGUUCUGUAGAACCAGAACCGUCUGAACUUCAUUGUUUCUGUAAAACAUGAAAUCUGAACCUGGAUAUUUUCUGGAGGAGUGUUGGAUAUUUGAACUCAUUAAAGUGAUGAAUGUUGUUAAACUGGACCGGUUCUGACAACCCGACUCAUGAAGUACCGACAAACCCAACAGAGGUUCUAGGAACCUACGCUGGUGUUAGUUUGGGUUCAGAAUUGGAUCAGUUCUGCAGGAAAAAACAGAAACAAUUUGUCCCCUUUUCAUUUAAAUCUGAAAAUUUUCAGAAAAGAGAAAAAUUUUCUUCUCCAACCAGGAAACCCUGAAAACAUCCUGGAACAGAAACACACAAACACCAACAAGAGGGAAGAAAGCAGGAUGUUCCCAGAUCCAUGCCAGGAAACUCUGGAGUGGAGGAGGGAGCUGUUGCUAGGCAACCAGUAGGAAGUAUAAAGGUCCCGUUUCAGGAAAUGGCCUCCCAGUUUACCCAUUAAAACCGUCAACUGUCAAAUUUUACUUUCCCUUCAAGUGCAAAAUAAAAAGCCGUAGCAGUCGCUGAACUGAACCGGACUGGACCGGACCGGACCCUGCAGCUUCCAGAACAAACAGGUCCAACGGGUCGAAGAGCUGCAGCAGCUUUGGACCCGGCCCACUCCAUUGGAACCAGAACCAGUGGGACAGAACAAAGUGGGAGCUGUGGGAGCUGUGGGGCUCCGCCGACCCGCUGCGACAGCACCGCCUGCUUCCUGUCUUUGUUCAGAACCUUACCUCCACCGAUCGGACCAGAACCGGGCCCUGAAGCAGAACCGUCCCAGAAACUCCAACAGGAACCAACAUGCAGAAUCAGCCAGUGCAGAGCAGAACCUCUUCCUCUGGGUUCUGGACUCGGUCCCGGGACCGACCCGCUCUGUGUGUGUGUGUUUCCUGCCUAUCAGCUGAGGCGGCGCCGCGCGGUUUCCUCUGAGUGACGAUGAGGGGAAUUCCUGUAAGGCCCGCGGUGAGAGGGGGGCGGGCCCGGCAGAACCCGACCCGCAACGUCACUGAGAGCGGCUGAGGCACCUCCAGGGGAUCCUCCUCUUCCUCCUCCUCCUCCUCCUCCUCCCUCUGCUGCAGGAGGAUCCACGGCCGGGCCUGCUGCUUUCACUUCCCGCUCAGCUGCACAACUCAGAGUUUUCUUGAUUAUGCAACCGGCCCGAUCUGGCCAGAACCGGGCCAGAGCAGAUGAAUCAUCUCUGGGUCAUCAUCACGCUGCUGUAAAGUUACAAAACAAACUUUGCAACAUUUGCACAUAGUUGGAGGAUUACAGCAGAGCUGCACGAACCGGGCCGUGACUGGUUCUGGGUCACAGCAGAACUGUACCGCUGAAACACCUAAAGACAGUAUCGGCCGGGUUCUGCUGAUCCGAUGCAUCUGACAACCGAUCGAUAUCAGAGUGAAAAACUCACUGAUGAGCGUGAUCACAACGCCGAGGCAGAAAGACGACGGCAGUGACUGAAGAUUAGACCAAAAUAAUAUUAACAAUAUUAACAAGGUAGCAACUGAGGAGAGGAAACGUUGCUGCUGCGUAAACAGACUUCAAAAUAAGAGCAUGGAUAUAAGCAUCUAACGACUCAACAGAUGUUGAACUUUAUUCCACUGAAAGUUUAGAAAAUAGCCAAGUAAAUUAGAAUUUAUUCUGAAAAAUUAAUUUAAGGAAAGCUAAGUGUGCUAAAUGUUUUAAAAGUUAGCAAAAAUGCUAAACAAGACAUAAUGUCUGCUAUUAGCAGAUUAGCAAAAAUAUGCCCACUGCUGUCAGUUUCUAGGCCUCUAUUAGCAGGUUAAAGGUUAAAGGUCAUGACAGAGCAUUUAGAAAAACACUGACCCAGUGUUUGGAUCAGAACAUCCUGGACCCGGUUGGACCUGCAGCACAGUUUGUUUACAUCCUGAAUCCAUUGACGGGAUUUCUGGGUUGUUUAGCCGUUUAGUUCCAGAGAAGCUAAAUAUUUACGCCACACACGGCGACUGCUGACUGUGUGGAUCAUCGUCCCGCUCUGUAAUCAAGCAGCAGAGCCGGGUCAGCAGGAGAACCGGGCCGUGACUCAUCCAGCAGCUUAGCGCUGAGUCAGCGCAGCGGCUAAUGACGGCUGAGCCGCGCUGAGGGAGUCCAGCCGCUCCGUCAGGGUCACACUCAUUCAGCUCCCUGGACUCAGCAGAGUCCAGAACCAGGCCAGGACCAAAACCAGAACCAAAACCGGGAUCAAAACCAGAACCAGGCCAGGACCAGACCAAAACCGGGACCAAAGCCAGACCAAAACCAGGCCAGAUGGUUGGGAAUGCUUUCUGCUCCGACUUUUUCCACACGAACAGAAACCGGUUCAGUCGACUGACCGACAGGUUUAGGUUGACGUUUCACGCUAAAUAUUCAGUUAGCAAAUGAAGCUAAAUAUGGAGCUCAGGCUGAAUAUUUUGGUCGGAGCUAAAUAUUUAGCUAAUAUCCAAAUUCACUUGCCAAUAACUGGAAGUGGGCUACCAAAAUAAAAGCUUGGUUUUUAUGAACUCCUGA